UAUUGUCUUCCGCAUUCAGUCAAUUUCAUAAUGAUCCCUUGCAUAGCAGGUCGUACCAGAGUUACCUGGUCAGGCGCAACAAUAGUAGUGAAACGAUGACUACGAUAGUUUGAUAUGGGUUUUCUUUCCAUCUUUUACCGGAACAGUUCAACAGCCGACGAAGAUUGGAAUACUUUGAUGCGCUCAAAGGCCCUAAGCAGAACCCCUGGGCUAGUUUGAUGACAAGCUAGGCUAGAAGAUGAGGAGGAGUCUAAAUGACUGUUUCGUCUUUGACGUAUUGACCCGUCUACUGUUGUUUGCAGUCUUCUGUGUGACGGAGGUGCUACCUCCUUUCUCUCGUGAGAUCCAGCCAGAGGAGAUGUGGCUCUACAAGUUCCACCAUGUGGAGAAUGACCACGUUCCUACCAAACUCAUGUUUAGCAUAGCACUUUUCACCCCUAUGGCUGUCAUCAUGUUGUUUGCCUUCCUGAACAAGACAGAGAAGAGGGACAUUAAGGAGGCCUCUCUGGCUGUGACUUUGACUCUGGUACUCAAUGGGGUUUUCACCAACGCUAUCAAAUUGGCAGUGGGCAGGCCGCGGCCAGAUUUCUUCUACCGCUGUUUCCCUGAUGGUCAGAUGAACACGGAGCUGCAAUGCAGUGGAGAUCCCGACACUGUAGAGGAGGGGAGGAAGAGCUUCCCUAGCGGACACUCCUCAUGUGAGAGCAUACCUCAGUUGCCUUUGCUGGUCUGGGCUUCACUGCUCUGUAUGUGGCGGGGAAACUGCACUGCUUUAGUCCUGCAGGACAGGGCAAAGCCUGGCGACUCUGUGCCUUCCUCGCCCCUCUCCUCUUUGCCAUCCUCAUCGCCAUGUCCAGGACCUGCGACUACAAGCAUCACUGGCAAGAUGUCCUGGUGGGCUCCCUGCUGGGGUUGGUGUUUGCCUGUCUGGGCUACUGGCAGCACUACCCGUCUCUCAGUGACUCAGACAGCCACAGGCCCCUGCUGCACAGAGAAGUAGUCCCGGCGGCACAGGAGCGCAAGCAGCAGGAGCAGCAGUCCCAGCAAGCCAACUCAGGAUACCUUCUGCCUCUGUAAGGAGCCCCAGGCCUGCUUCUGUACUGGGUGCAUCCCCAUAAUCUCUCCUUCUUCCUGUAGUGUGCACUUUGUAAUAAUCCCCACGCAUGUAAAAGCAUUGGAUUGGUGUAUGUGUUAGAGUUCCAUGUACCAGUAAUUUCCUUUCAAAUCCAUGAAGGGAAGUGAACAAGUGCACACUUUGGAAGAAAGGAGAGGUUAUUGGGACGCAACCUCUCAUUUUACUUUCAAAGCCUUGUGAUUGCAGAUCCAGACCUCCACUGUGGAAAAACAAACAAACAAACAAACAACUUUAGUUGGAGAGGAGUGGUACCAAGUAGUCUGCUCCUCACUCAAUCAGUGCUGUCUGUUGGUCUAUUCCAAGAAGAUAAACAGUACUACUGUAAUAACAGCGUUGCAUUCCCAGGCUGUCAUGCUAAUAUCAAUGUUUCUAAUCUUUGAAGGACCAAUUGUAUAGAAGUGAAAGGACCUCCACGGUUACGUUGGAUCACAAGUAAGGGGACAUGCUAGCAAUCUCGGUUUUAUAAAUCUAUGACUAAUCCAAAUCUAAUUAGAAAAUUAAUGAAUCAUAUGGAGUCUUUCUCGAUCACUUAAGAUGCCAAAAUUCUCCUUUUUUAAUGCACUUACAGAUACUGUAUGUAUAGUACGUUGUUUACAAUACUGUGCCAAUAAAGUUUGUUACCAGGGAA